ensembl:lncRNA
CCUUCGCCCCGGAAAGGGAGAAGCGCCCCGCUUGUUGCAGCGGCCCAUGCUCCUCCCCCUGGCGCAGUGGUUCCGGAUAUCGCGGCGGCAGUGGCCGCGCCUGCGCAGUUACAGCUGAGGCGGGGAAACGUUGGCGGAGCCCGGGGCAGGAAGAGAAAGGCGACCGGAGGAGCCUUGACCCGGAAGCGGAAGUCGCGGCGCUGCGAUUUCCUGUUUCGCAAGGAGUGGUGGUGGAAGUUGCGCGUCGGGUCUAUACCGGCUUGAGGCACUGCUACAGGCAGCGCGGAAGGAUGCGGCGGGCAGAGAUGAAGCCUGGGAAAUCAUCACAUCCAAAGGAUUUACUUGGAGUAAA